CCUCCAUGAUCUGCGGACAGAUGAGGUGGACGUGACAGUCGAUGGCGCCCGCGGUCACGAUGCGCCCGUUGCCGGCGAUGAUCUCGGUCGACGGACCGACCACCAGGUCCGGGUGCACCCCCGACAUGAUCUCGGGGUUGCCCGCCUUGCCGAUCGCGACGAUGCGGCCGUCGCGGAUACCGAUGUCGGCCUUGAUGAUUCCCCAGUGGUCCAGGAUCACCGCGCCGGUGAUGACGGUGUCGGGCGCCCCGUCGGCCCGGGUCGCCCGGGACUGUCCCAUGGAUUCGCGCAG
rfam:Mycobacterium bacteremicum strain DSM 45578 NODE_20_length_89846_cov_40.1728, whole genome shotgun sequence.